AUACUCAUUCUUUGUAAAACCGUAUUUUGUUUUUUUUUUCCUCAAAAUUUAUAUAAUUUUGAACCAUUGCACUGAGGUUGAAUUGACUUCUGUGAUUGCCCCAAAUGCGGAUAACUCAGGUGUAUAAUUUCUGCUAAUGGAAGACUGCGUUCGCGCUUUUUUCCC
rnacentral:snRNA from 12 species